AUCAGAUAUGAUCCAGCAAUCUUGCUUCUGGGUAUAUAUCCAAAGGAAUUGAAAUCAUGAUCUUGAGAUAUCUGUACUUUUUUGUUCAUUGCAGCAUUAUUCAGACUAGCCAAGAUAUGGAAACAAGCUAAAUGCGAAUUGAUGGAUGAAUAGAUAAGAAGCAUGUGAUGUGUAUAGAUAUUAUGUGUACAAGGAAACAUGGAGCGUGAUCUAAGGCAGCUACCAGCAUUGAUUUUGAUCAUAAGCCAGUUGCUCAAAGACCGAUGUGGAAAGGGCUUAAGAAGGAAGAGGACCAGAGGGAAAUUACCAUCUGGAGACAAGAUGACACUGGGAACUUGGAGGAAAACGUUCAGGUACCGUAUGAGGAAGCAGAACACUGGUUGUAGGUUGUGUAUCAAUGGCUUUCUAUGAGUAAAUGACCUGAAAAUGUAUGUGACUAAGCACCAUAAUGUGGAUUUCUGAAAGCUGAAUGACUUAAAGAAAAAUCUGCUUAUUUCUAAGAAAACCAACAAGUGGUUUCUUUCAGUAAGUUAUUAAAUUUCUUUAAGGCAUGAAUGAUCUAUUAUGUAAGGAAAGUGUUUGAAUACAGGUAUUCUGUCCUUAAGUUUGGACAUUCCUGGAAACCAAACAGCCUAUAAUGCAAAGC
rnacentral:lncRNA from 10 species